GGUAUUGACCGGAUUCCUCAGGACUGGUAACGCUGGCUGUCCUCUUCAUUACCUGGCAGAUCAAUCAGGAGGAGUCCAGGCGGCUUCUGGCUCAUCAGCAGGCCUGUCAUAGCCGCGCCACGCACGAGUAAUCGGGCCCUUGGCGUGAGCUAAAUGCUUUUCUGAGAACCAUACCUGUCUCGGCCACCCCGCUGAGCCCGGACCCACCAACCGGCUGGCUGCCCCCUUGGGAUUCAGUUUCCACGGCAACCCUCCAAGCACGCUCCAGGCUCCUCCCUCAGGUGUGCUUUCAUCUGAAGACUUGAAUGGUCCUCUCUCUCUCUCUCUCUGUCUCUCUCUGUCUCUCUCUGUCUCUCUCCGUCUCUCCGUCUCUCCGUCUCUCCGUCUGUCCGUCUGUCCGUCUGUCCGUCUGUCCGUCUGUCCGUCUGUCCGUCUGUCUGUCUGUCUGUCUGUCUGUCUGUCUGUCUGUCUGUCUGUCUGUCUGUUUCUCUCUCUGUGUCUCAAAUUCAAAUUGAAAAAAGUUUGUUGGCAUUGGAAACAAACGUUUACAUUGCCAAAGCAGGUGAAAAAGGAAUUGAGUAAAAUGAAAAAAUAUCAUCUCCUGUAAAUGGAUAAAGUAAAGAUAUACUGACAUACUCUGUAUUUACAGUGUGGAGGAUGUGUGCAAUCAUUGUUAACAGACAAAAAAUGUGAAGUGUAAUAUUAACCAAAAGGUGUGCUAGUGGUUAAAGUCCAGCGGGCUGAGUCUGUUUAUGGAGUUUGUGGUCCUAGGUCACAAAUAAUGCUGCUGUGAUCGCACGCAUUUCACCAAAUAGAUAUGGCAGCAUGUGUUAGCAUCUUGAGUGUUUAAAGUACUUGUAGGUCUAUGUAAUCCCUGGGAAGUGUGUGUUACUGAUGUCUUGGUAUGAUAGGCAGGAAGUUAUGAAGUGCAGCUAAGUUUCCAGUUGGUUUUGUGUGCAGUGGGGGCACAGUCUGUCUUUUCUUGCGAGCCAGGUCUAUCUUUGGCGUCUCCUUCCGAUGGCCAGGCUGUGUCUAUGAUGAAGUCUAUACUAUAGACCUGGUCUAGGAUUUUCUUAGUUCUGGGUCAGUCAUGGUGGUCUGUAUAUUCUCCAUUUAGGGACAAGUUGCCAAUUUACUCAGUUUUAUGGUGGAUUCUUUCCAAUGUGCCCAAUUGUUUUAUUUUCUUAUAAUUUGGUUUUGCUUGAUGAUGGUGGUUGUUGUUGGACAGAGUCCCAGGGCAGGCUGGCUAAGGGGUUGUUUUUUUUGGGUGUAACUCUCUGUGGGUCAGGGCCUUGUUGUGGAGCCUGUUGCUGUCUCGUUUCUUCAGGUGCUUAUAAAAUGAUACUGCUCUCUUCUGGAUUUUAAUAUUGAUCAGAUAUCGUCCCAAUUCUGUGCUGCAUGCAUUAUUUGGUGUUUUUCUUUGGACUCUGAGGAUAGAUUUACAGAAUUCUGCAUGUGGAGUUUGAUUAAUGUUUGUUCCAUUUUAUAAAAUCUUGGUUAGCUUGUUGAGCCAAGACCUCAGAGCCAUAUGUGUUCUAUAACUGCGUCAUUUUGAGCCAAAUCUUAAGUGGGAUGUCUAGUUUGAUGUUUCCUUUAAUGGCGUAAAAUGCUGUCCUUACCUUGUCUCUUAGCAGGUUAUUAAUGUUUUUGCCAAGGUAGGUACAGGUUUUUUUUUGCUCUAGACAGAGCAACAAUGUCUAGGUGGAAUUGUUAUUUGUGGUGGCUGGGUCUUUUUUCCAAUAUCAUUAUUUUAGUUUUACUAAGGUU
ensembl:lncRNA